rnacentral:rRNA from 1 species
AUACAGGGGGUGCGAGCGUUAAUCGGAAUUACUGGGCGUAAAGAGUACGUAGGCGGUUGCUUAAGUCAGAUGUGAAAGCCCCGGGCUCAACCUGGGAACUGCAUUUGAAACUGAGUGACUAGAGUUUAAGAGAGGGGAGUAGAAUUCCGGGUGUAGCGGUGAAAUGCGUAGAGAUCCGGAGGAAUACCAGUGGCGAAGGCGGCUCCCUGGCUUAAAACUGACGCUGAGGUACGAAAGCGUGGGUAGCGAACAGGAUUAGAUACCCCGGUAGUCC